AUUUUCUUUAGGAACAAAACUUAAACAAAGUGUAUAUUUUGUCACAUUUAUAUUACAGUAUCAUCUGUAUAUUUAUGAACAACAAAAAUAUUCAUGAAUGUUUUUGGAUUAAAUGAAUUAUUUAACAUUUAAAAACCUCGAAAGAGAAACACAAACACAAGAUUUCCUUGUUUUUCCAGGAAACUAUUGGUUGAAUAUUUGACUGACAGCUGUAUCAACCUGUUAAAAAUCAGGGAAUCUUAAAAAAAAAAAAAAAAAAAAGUGAAGACUGACCAGCUGCGCUAAUCAAGAGGAAACGAGGAGGAAUUUUAAAAAACACACAUUCCUCCAUAAAAACACUGUUUAUUAAAUUGAUUAGAGGAUUUUUUGAAACCAAAUGGAAAUAUGUGGAUUCAUGGAGUCUUCCAGCAGAAUCAUCUACAUAACAGAACAGCAGGGAAAGACGAUGAAGCUCAGAAGUUCUCCAUCCACUGGGACUGAUGAGGAGGAUUUCACAUGCAGUCCACAUCACAUCUCAUCUUCUGAGCACCAUGCCUGCUAUUGAUCCAGAUGAUGGUACCACCGCCGCCCGCUCCACAGCAAGACGUCUCUGCAGGAUAAAGAACAAAUGUUCUGCAGGGCGACCCGAUCCUCUGACGGGCUCCUCCUCAGCCUGUCGUAUGUUGGAUCAAUGAGAGCAGCCUGGAGAAAAAUGGAUUAAAUAAACAGGAAUAUUUGCCUGAAUGA